rnacentral:rRNA from 1 species
CUGGCUUAGAAAUAAGUUGGGCCAGAGGUUAACCAAACUUCAAUUUUAUUAUUGAAUUGUUAUUUUAUUUAAUUUGUCAAUUUGUUGAUUAAAUUCAAAAAAUCUUCAAAACUUUCAACAACGGAUCUCUUGGUUCUCGCAUCGAUGAAGAACGCAGCGAAAUGCGAUAAGUAAUAUGAAUUGCAGAUUUUCGUGAAUCAUCGAAUCUUUGAACGCACAUUGCGCCCUUUGGUAUUCCAGAGGGCAUGCCUGUUUGAGCGUCAUUUCUCUCUCAAGCCCUCGGGUUUGGUAUUGAGUGAUACUCUUAGUCAGACUAGGCGUUUGCUUGAAAAGUAUCGGCAUGAGUAGUACUAGAUAGUGCUUUCAGGAUAUUUCAAUGUAUUAGGUUUAUCCAACUCGUUGAGAAUUCUUGGUAGUGAAUUUUUAGUAUCAUGGCUCUGCCUUACAAAACAACAAACAAGUUUGACCUCAAAUCAGGUAGGAUU